rnacentral:siRNA from 1 species
AGCUAAUAACAUAGGAGUGCACCA